AUGGUUCAUGACAUUUGGGUAUUGGUGUAUAGAAUUUGAGGAUGAUUUGGUUCAUGGGAUGUACGAGAUUUGGUUCAUGGGAUGUGAUGUAUGGUUCAUGAGUUUUAUGACUCAUAGGGUUUGAUGUAUGGUUCAUGUAUUUAGUUCAUAAAUUUGGGUAUGGUUUACGGGAUUGGGUUCAUGAACUUGAUGUACGGUUCAUGAGGUUUGGUUUAUGGUUCAUGAACUUGGUGUAUGGUUCAUGAGGUUUGGUUUAUGGUUCAUGAACUUGGUUUAUGGACUUGGUUCAUGGUUCAUGAACUUGAUUUAUUUGGUUCAUGAACUCAGUUUAUGGUUCAUGAGGUUUGGACGAGGUUCGGUAUGUGGUUCAUGGUUUUUGGUUUAUGAACUUGGAUAUGGUUCAUG
rnacentral:lncRNA from 1 species